GGUUCGGUGGUCUAGGGGUAUGAUUCUCGCUUAGGGUGUGAGCGGUCCCGGGUUCAAAUCCCGGCCGAACCC
rfam:Stegodyphus mimosarum contig151547, whole genome shotgun sequence.